AUUGACGGGGGCCCGCACAAGCGGUGGAGCAUGUGGUUUAAUUCGAUGCAACGCGAAGAACCUUACCUGGUCUUGACAUCCACAGAACUUUCCAGAGAUGGAUUGGUGCCUUCGGGAACUGUGAGACAGGUGCUGCAUGGCUGUCGUCAGCUCGUGUUGUGAAAUGUUGGGUUAAGUCCCGCAACGAGCGCAACCCUUAUCCUUUGUUGCCAGCGGUCCGGCCGGGAACUCAAAGGAGACUGCCAGUGAUAAACUGGAGGAAGGUGGGGAUGACGUCAAGUCAUCAUGGCCCUUACGACCAGGGCUACACACGUGCUACAAUGGCGCAUACAAAGAGAAGCGACCUCGCGAGAGCAAGCGGACCUCAUAAAGUGCGUCGUAGUCCGGAUUGGAGUCUGCAACUCGACUCCAUGAAGUCGGAAUCGCUAGUAAUCGUGGAUCAGAAUGCCACGGUGAAUACGUUCCCGGGCCUUGUACACACCGCCCGUCACACCAUGGGAGUGGGUUGCAAAAGAAGUAGGUAGCUUAACCUUCGGGAGGCCGCUUACCACUUUGUGAUU
rnacentral:rRNA from 1 species